rnacentral:rRNA from 1 species
UACGAAGGGGGCUAGCGUUGCUCGGAAUCACUGGGCGUAAAGGGUGCGUAGGCGGGUCUUAAGUCAGGGGUGAAAUCCUGGAGCUCAACUCCAGAACUGCCUUUGAUACUGAGGAUCUUGAGUUCGGGAGAGGUGAGUGGAACUGCGAGUGUAGAGGUGAAAUUCGUAGAUAUUCGCAAGAACACCAGUGGCGAAGGCGGCUCACUGGCCCGAUACUGACGCUGAGGUGACGAAAGCGGUGGGGAGCAAACAGG